AACUCCCGCAGGACUCCGGAGCUCCUCAUCCCUACAGUAACACCAGCAGGACUGCUGCUCUCCCUGGGACCCUGAUACCAGAUAUCGUGCUGCAGCUCGAAAACUCACCACCGCGUUCAUCUUGAGCGGCUCGGAGAGGCUGGAGGACAUGGGGGUGAGGCUGGACUCCAGGGCCUUGACGUAGGCGCGCGCCGAGGCCAGGCGCAGCCGGUACAGGUCCUUCUGGAAUGCUCGGUGCAUGGCUAGGGACGGGGGGAGCAGGGGGGAGAAAGGCGGAUUCAAUCACCAAGGGGGAAGGGGUGGGCUCUCAAAACGAACAACAGUCACUCCUGGGCCCGCAGCCCUGCACUGGCUACCAAGCAGACGGGGAUGAUGUAGCAUUCAGGGCACAAAGUGCAGAGCAGUGGCUCUGUGGCUCAGGAUCUGCGCCUGUGGCUGGGGAGGUUGCCGGUUCGAAUCCCACAGCUGGCAGAGGAAUCCUACUCCGUUGGGCCCCUGAGCGAGGCCCUUCACCCCAGCUGCUCCAGGGGUGCUGUAUAAAUGGCUGACCCUGCGCUCCGACCCCCAGCUUCUCUCUCCCUGUCUGUGUGUCUCAUGGAGAGCAAGCUGGGGUCUGAGAAAAGACACAUUCCUAAUGCAAAAAAUUGUAUAUGGCUAAUAAAGUGAUCUUCAAAACGUGAAGAUGGUUUGGCACUACUUUCUUUUCAGAUCCCUUCAAGCACGACUGUAAGUUUUCUGUCAUUUAACGUUUCUCUCAAGCGCCAUCUGCUGGUACCUGCUGCAAUCACGAGGGACAGGCAAAGAGGAACUUCCCAUCCAUUCAUUUCCUAACUGCUUGUUCUAAUCGAGGGUCAUGGGGAGCCGGAGUCUAUCCCAGCAAGCAAUGGGCCCGAGGCAGGGUACACCCUGGAUGGGACAGCAGUCCAUCGCAAGGAGACACACUCACCAGCACGUCUGUGGACUGUGGGAGGAAACUGGAGCACCCGGAGGAAACCCACAUUUACAUAAGGAGAACACGCAAACUCCACCCAGACAG
rnacentral:lncRNA from 1 species